rnacentral:rRNA from 1 species
UACGGAGGGGGCUAGCGUUGUUCGGAAUUACUGGGCGUAAAGCGCGCGUAGGCGGCUUUGUAAGUUAGAGGUGAAAGCCCGGGGCUCAACCCCGGAAUUGCCUUUAAGACUGCAUCGCUUGAAUCCAGGAGAGGUGAGUGGAAUUCCGAGUGUAGAGGUGAAAUUCGUAGAUAUUCGGAAGAACACCAGUGGCGAAGGCGGCUCACUGGACUGGUAUUGACGCUGAGGUGCGAAAGCGUGGGGAGCAAACAGG